AUGGAGCAAGACAAUGCCAUCUACAUGCUCCGUGGGAACACCAUCUAUGCCUACAAGCUCAGCUACAUACACCAGGAUCAGGGUGAUGAUCAGGGGAGGGGGAGGCUCAGGCUGGAUCCGCCCAUCACCAUCGACUCUGUAUGUCCUCACAGUUCAUGUCAUGGGUGUGGCUUCCUCACCCGUCUCGACGGUCGGCUCAUGUGCUCCGUCUGGAUCAGCCUGGCACCACGUCAACAAUUAGAAGAUUGCCGGUGUGACAACCUACAUGCCAUUGUCACCACCUUCAACCUCCAAGAUCCAGCUCAGGGGGGAAUACAGGUGCUGCAUUCCUCUUUCCGCCGGGUAGACAUGGAGCGCAAUCGAGAGAACCAGGAAUUCUGCUUUCUACAGGAGUACGAGGACAAGGAUUGUCCGGUGCUGCUGCAACACCAAGAAGGGCAAGAGAAGGAUCUAACCAGCUGUUCCCAGCAACACGUCGACCAACCCUCCAAGAUGCUUGAUUGUUGCAGACGGUUUCUCGAAAUGAAAGACUGUCCAAGCUUUUGCUUUUCCUGCGGCACCAAAGGUCACGUUGCCCGCGACUGCUCUCUCCCGUCACAGCAGCCCUUGCCGGCAAUGCCUCACCGCACGCUGGUUGGCCGUCCUUCAAUGCAACACCGAGUCCCUUUUGAAAGGCGUCCGGUUGCUACAACAAGUAUCAAUAAAGAUCUGUUUAUCAUCUGCCAAGCUGGGUCAGAACUAGUCAUCUACCAUACAGGCGUCAUGGAUGAGACUUCACUGUUGCAAGGAGGAGGAGACGACGGCAAGCCUCUCCAACCGUCGUGUUAUGUUGCAGCAUAUGUUGGUGAUGGUGACUAUUGGCACUUUUUCCUUCACAGUGGCUCAAAAAUACACGCCGUUUCGAGGAAAAGAGAUGGCAUGCUUGAGUUUAGUCUGAACAAGGACCGUACGAUGGCUAUGGAUCGUCUAUCUGUACGGCGGCUGCCAAGUGCUGAUACUUUUGUUUUGUUUAUCACAGUUGGUGGAGUGACCAUUGCCCUUACUGAUACUCUGAAAGUUUUCCAUCAGACAAGGUUCAGUUAUGGAUCCACCACGUGGCUGCGUUGCAAGACAGAUCAGUCGCAUGUUCUCCACAGGAAGGUUAUGAUAUCUGGAUAUGUAGCAGUGAAUGACGAUUCCUUUAUAGUCUGUGAUGCUCUCACAGGUUCCUGUCUUUUGUUUGACCUGGGUGCCAAGCAAUGGCGUGUUGUCAUGCCUUGGGCAGCAUUCGCAGAGGACCUGCCAAGGACUUGCCCUACAAAGUGCCAUUUAAAUGGUAGAUGUGUGUCUGUCGAUGGCUUUAUCUACACAUGCAGAGAUGGAGGGCUUGCCGCUUAUCAGCUGCUUGAUAAAGAUCAUUCUGUGUAUCUCAGCGAGCCCAUCCUUUUGCCAUUCUCAUGGCUUGUGGAUGAUUGUGUGGGUGAGGACAUGUGCUUGGAUUAUGCUGGCAAAGAUGUGGACUCUGGUGCUAUUUUGUUUUACGUGGUGCAACUGCAAAGUGGAUAUCGUCCGCCCAAGCAUGAUGUACAGAUCACCAUUGUCCAGGUUAAGACUAAAGCAACAACCAGCAGCAAGAAAAGGGAACCAGUGCGAGUUACCCCCGUGGACUGUGUCACGCGGUUCAUACAUCACGAGGAAGCCGUCGAUGCCAGAUGCUGCUUUGCGCUCUAG
rnacentral:rRNA from 1 species